rnacentral:rRNA from 1 species
GUGAGUAAAACAUCGGAACGUGUCCAUUAGUGGGGGAUAGCCCGGCGAAAGCCGGAUUAAUACCGCAUACGAUCUGUGGAUGAAAGCGGGGGACCGAAAGGCCUCGCGCUAACGGGGCGGCCGAUGGCGGAUUAGGUAGUUGGUGGGGUAAAGGCCUACCAAGCCGACGAUCCGUAGCUGGUCUGAGAGGACGACCAGCCACACUGGGACUGAGACACGGCCCAGACUCCUACGGGAGGCAGCAGUGGGGAAUUUUGGACAAUGGGCGCAAGCCUGAUCCAGCAAUGCCGCGUGUGUGAAGAAGGCCUUCGGGUUGUAAAGCACUUUUGUCCGGAAAGAAAUCCUUCGCUCUAAUACAGUGGGGGGAUGACGGUACCGGAAGAAUAAGCACCGGCUAACUACGUGCCAGCAGCCGCGGUAAUACGUAGGGUGCAAGCGUUAAUCGGAAUUACUGGGCGUAAAGCGUGCGCAGGCGGUGAUGUAAGACCGAUGUGAAAUCCCCGGGCUUAACCUGGGAACUGCAUUGGUGACUGCAUCGCUGGAGUAUGGCAGAGGGGGGUGGAAUUCCACGUGUAGCAGUGAAAUGCGUAGAGAUGUGGAGGAACACCGAUGGCGAAGGCAGCCCCCUGGGCCAAUACUGACGCUCAUGCACGAAAGCGUGGGGAGCAAACAGGAUUAGAUACCCUGGUAGUCCACGCCCUAAACGAUGUCAACUGGUUGUUGGGGAUUCAUUUCCUUAGUAACGUAGCUAACGCGUGAAGUUGACCGCCUGGGGAGUACGGUCGCAAGAUUAAAACUCAAAGGAAUUGACGGGGACCCGCACAAGCGGUGGAUGAUGUGGAUUAAUUCGAUGCAACGCGAAAAACCUUACCUACCCUUGACAUGUACGGAACCCUGGUGAGAGCCGGGGGUGCCCGAAAGGGAGCCGUAACACAGGUGCUGCAUGGCUGUCGUCAGCUCGUGUCGCGAGAUGUUGGGUUAAGUCCCGCAACGAGCGCAACCCUUGUCCCUAGUUGCUACGCAAGAGCACUCCAGGGAGACUGCCGGUGACAAACCGGAGGAAGGUGGGGAUGACGUCAAGUCCUCAUGGCCCUUAUGGGUAGGGCUUCACACGUCAUACAAUGGUCGGAACAGAG